UACAGAGGGGGCAAGCGUUGUUCGGAAUUACUGGGCGUAAAGGGCGCGUAGGCGGUGUGUCAAGUCAGGCGUGAAAGCCCCGGGCUCAACCUGGGAACCGCGCUUGAGACUGGCACGCUCGAGUUCGGGAGAGGAUGGUGGAAUUCCCAGUGUAGAGGUGAAAUUCGUAGAUAUUGGGAAGAACACCAACGGCGAAGGCGGCGCUCUGGGCCGGUACUGACGCUGAGGAGCGAAAGCGUGGGGAGCAAACAGG
rnacentral:rRNA from 1 species